rnacentral:tRNA from 1 species
GUGGGUAUAGCUCAGUGACGCAGUGCCUGCCUGGCAAGCACGAGGUCCUGAGUUCAAUUCCCGGUACCCCCC